AACGAACGCUGGCGGCAGGCCUAGCACAUGCAAGUCGAGCGCCCCGCAAGGGGAGCGGCGGACGGGUGAGUAACGCGUGGGAAUAUGCCCUUUGCUACGGAAUAGUCUCGGGAAACUGGGGGUAAUACCGUAUACGCCCUUUGGGGGAAAGAUUUAUCGGCGAAGGAUUAGCCCGCGUUGGAUUAGGUAGUUGGUGGGGUAAUGGCCUACCAAGCCGACGAUCCAUAGCUGGUUUGAGAGGAUGAUCAGCCACACUGGGACUGAGACACGGCCCAGACUCCUACGGGAGGCAGCAGUGGGGAAUCUUAGACAAUGGGGGCAACCCUGAUCUAGCCAUGCCGCGUGAGUGAUGAAGGCCUUAGGGUUGUAAAGCUCUUUCAGCUGGGAAGAUAAUGACGGUACCAGCAGAAGAAGCCCCGGCUAACUCCGUG
rnacentral:rRNA from 1 species